rnacentral:lncRNA from 1 species
CCAAGCCCUCCGCCUCCUCCUUCAUGGCCUUGAUGUCGUCGUUGCUGCCUCUGACGAACUUGUAGGGAGGCCCAUGGAUCCCUUGGCCCCUGAACUCCUUGCCUAUGGCGUAGGGCCUCCACACGAGGCGCACGACGGCGUAAUCCCACAGCCAUGCAAUGGCGGCGGCCGCUAGCAGCGCGACGAGAGCCGCCAGGGGUACGAGGAAGGCCAUGGCUGCCACGGGUAGAGCAGGGGAAGGAGGGGAUGUGUGUGUGUGUGAUAUGGCUCACUGUUGU